ensembl:lncRNA
UCUCCUUCCUCAAUGCUGCAGCAUCGCCUUCUAAUAAAGUCAAUACAUCUUGCAAUUAACUCCUCAGAAAAUGGUAUUCUUGGCUACCAUCAGACCAGGAAGAAGCUCUCUGUGCUGCGAAGCGCAAUGAAACCUCCAGUUGCUCUCCAUCAAUCUUUUCCUGUAUUGUAUCUACAUAGCAAGCAAGAUGUUUUCCUUCACCGCCCUCGAUGAUGUAUUUCCUCCAUGCAAAACUUCUGGACACAGGGCAGCUCUGUGAGCUGCUCUGGGAUUAUACAAGCUGAUCUGAAGAUGAAUUAAGCCUCUCUAUGUUUCUUGCAAUCUGCAUAAGCAGGCGUUCCUCUUCCUUGCAGCGCAGCAGGUUUCUGUUGAUGCUGACAUUUCACUGCACGUGGGAACAUUGCAAGGCAGCAACACCAAAACGGGGUGUUGGACUCUGAUCUGGAGAGAGGCAGUUUGUACCCUGUGAGUUCUGGUGAUGGCUGUGAUACGCAGUCAUGUUACGACUCUCCGUAUCAGUGAUCAGGUUCUGCCUGCACCACUCCGGGAUCUGCACAGCCCUCCAUUGGCCCCCUGCGAGGAGACCAAAAGUUAAGCUUAUAGCUUCAAUUUGUAUCACAUGCCUGCUGAAAAAGCAGCUCUGAAUUUGCUUUUAGACAGCAACCUGUCACUCUUACAGGCUACAGCUGCAGGAGCUGUGAGAUGCACUGCUGUGUGGUGCAGCCACGGGCACUGCACUGAGGUUUGUGUAAGGCCAUCUCAGUCCCAGCAGAGCUGAGGAGCUGCCUGGAAGUGUUUGUUUUCCGUCUUCUCCUCUUGUUUAAGACAACAGCAAUCAUCAUCUGAGUGCCAUACAACAAGUGGAGGUACUCUUUUGAAUGGUGUCUCCUUUUCAGUUUUCUUCUAAAGGAUGAAGAAGUGAGAAAUGUUAGAGAGGAAAACCCCUGCUCUAUGCACACAGAGGGCCUUAAAAUCAUAGAGUUCUAUAAUAGAACCAUAGGAUGGCUUGGAUUGGAAGUGACAUCAAGGAUCAUGAAGCUUCAACUCC